GUGUCAGCAGCCGCGGUAAUACGUAGGGUGCAAGCGUUGUCCGGAAUUACUGGGUGUAAAGGGUCCGCAGGCGGGCAAGUAAGUCAGAGGUGAAAGUCUUUGGCUCAACCAAAGAAUUGCCUUUGAUACUACUUGUCUUGAGUUCGAGAGAGGAUAGUGGAAUUCAUGGUGUAGCGGUGAAAUGCGUAGAGAUCAUGAAGAACACCAGUAGCGAAGGCGGCUAUCUGGCUCGAUACUGACGCUCAGGGACGAAAGCGUGGGUAGCAAACAGGAUUAGAUACCCCUGUAGUCC
rnacentral:rRNA from 1 species